AUGCCAAGAGCAAAUGAAGGAAAACACAAAUCUAAAGGGGCUCCCCUGCCCAUCGUUUUGAUUCUUCAAAAGUUUCUGAAAACGUAUGAGAAGCACUGUGCGCAGUCUCAGACGUCUGUGUGUCCAGCCAUCAAAAGUGACCUGAAAAGCAGCAUUGACAGUGACCAGGUGCUCAGGAAGUUUAUGCUUGUAAGAUCUGAUGACUCCCCACCAAGAAUCCUACCAGUUUCCUUGGAACCUUUGCUCAUGACAAUUCAAGAUGAGUGUUACACACUGGCGAAAGAGAUCUGCAUCUGGGGCCUUCCACUGAGCAACCCAGAGAUUGCCAGACUUGCUUUGCUUCUGGAAUCGAAGGAGCACACCACCUGCCCGUUUACCACCCUAGAAAUCAUUGAUUGCAAAAUGGAUCUGUGGUCUCUAGAGCGACUUGGGAAGGCUCUGCGGUUCAGUAGUUUGCGUUCUCUUGUCCUCGAUUACUGCAAAUUUGGAAAGGAAGAACUUGAGAGCAUUUUCUCAGGCCUGGAGAACAACCAAAGGCUUCAAGGCCUCAGUCUGCGUUAUCGUGGUGUGGGACCUCAGAGCGGGCUAAGACUGGGUUCGGUCAUCAGCCAGAGUGCCAUUUGCAAGCUGUACCUUGAAGGCAAUUACUUGGAAUGUUCUGGAGCGCUGGCUCUUCUCAGGCCCAUAGCAGACUCUGCGGAGACACAGGGGAAAGACCGGCUGACCCCAGGCUCACCAGACGCUGGAAAUCCCCCUCAGCGGCUCCAAGCCAAACAGAGAGGAAGUUCAACUUUGAACCAGAUUACAAAAUCGUCUGAAGCUGUAACAGUGAAAACUACUUCAGGGAAGAAAAAGAGAAAAAAAAGGAAUCAAGAAGAAAAUUGAAGGUCUGAUGGAAGCUGGUCCUUGGUUAGUGAAGUUGCAUUUGGCAGAUAAUGGCAUAGAUGGAAAAGGAAAAGAAGGAGAAAAUGGUUUGUCGGAAUUCAUUCAAACUUUAACAUAGUAAGUAGCAAUUUAAGAGGCCUUAUUUGUUCACCUUUUAAAACUAAGUGCUUGAAUUAAAUCAUUGGGAUAAUUAUUUAGCUGCACCUUUUUGGCAGUUUCCAGUGAGGUUUUACAGCUCUGAGAGCCAAGCAGUGACCCAUCUUGGUCUUGGUACCUAACAUGGCAAACAGUUGUGUGUGGACCAUAAAGCAAUCUUCAAGACCUCACUAGAAGCCCCAUUUUAAGAAGUUGGCAACUGAGGAAAAACAGGACGUAUGACCUCCCAAUUUUUCUUUCUUAAAGUCAGGAUAUAAUGUAAAAUGUAAUCGAUGUGACCUAAGGAGGAAGGGCGGCCUACCCAGGAGUGAUCACUUUUUUGUAUUUGAUUACAAAGUUGUCCCAGCCUCCUCAAGGCAGAAGGACACAGCUGUUCUCAAAAGCUUCUCAAAAACAGGAUAUUUCCUUGCCAUGUUUGUGUUGAGAAUCUUAGGUAUUUCCCUGUCCAGGCCUACUGAGUCCACAUCCCCAGUGGGCCAAGUAGGAUUUGCAGCUACUGUAGAAAAAACUUGCUGGGUGGAGACAACUCCAAGAUAUAUAGUUUCAGGUAGUUGAUAGUGACAGCAGCGCGGCGAAAGUCAAGGGCAACAGAACACAGCCAAGGCUUGAGGCUUGAGGGCUUGAUGGAUGGCU
rnacentral:lncRNA from 10 species